rfam:Myotis davidii contig176282, whole genome shotgun sequence.
CAUGUACCAGUGGAGUCCCUCAGCCUGGCCUGCGGGAUCGGGCCGAAACCGUCUCUCCGACAUCCCCCGAAGAGUCUCAGAUUGCAAGUGGGCGCAGGCCAGGCCGAGGGACCCCACUGGUGCACA